CCCAAACACACGUCAAACGCACACAGCUCCUUCCAACCAUUUUCAAUUUCCCCAAAUUGAACUCGCAAAGCUCGUGGAUCAUCUCCUCCGCUGUCGCUGCUUCCAGAUAGCCCGAAAAUGACCGGAGGCUGGUAAUCCUCACUUGAGCGGUUCGAUUUUCACCUAAGCGCAGCAGUUGUAGGAAACAACUAGGUUCGCGAGCGGCCGAGGCACAGGGAUGGAUGCAUCUUCCAGAAUCUCUAAAAUAAGAAGUCGAGAACGUGAUAGGCUCAACGGGCCUCCUUGGCUUAAGGCACUGAUGGGUGGUAUGGCAUUCUCACAUGUGUAUAUGCUAUUCUUAACUAUGCCCAGACUGGUUUGAUUGCAGCUGUGUUUUUCCUUAAAGUGAGUAUAAUAAUAUGUUCUGUUUUAUCCCAUUAUUGACACAUAAUUUUAUUUAUUUUAUAAUUCCUUUAAUAAUUUGUUUGACAUUAUUGUUUCAUGUUGGUAAUUGAUAUGAAUUUGAGUGGGAUUUACUUUGAAAUUUUGUUGAACUAUAAUUCUAAAUGUUAGUGUGCAUUUGAUGACU